rnacentral:misc_RNA from 1 species
GACGACAGUUCCUUGAACAUCAUAAACGCCGGAAAAACAGCGAGGACAACGGGGUUCUCACCGAGGGUCGACGGCAUCACGGACGGGGCUGCGCACAACACAUUAUUUCUCACGGGUAUUCCGUCGAACAGCCAAGGGGCAUUGAAGAGAACAGCAAGGGCGCUCAGCUAUGGGAUGGAAGCAGGGGCGCCAUGGAGGUUGCUGCCGCUGCUUGGUGUUUUGGAGGGUGGGCUGCUGUGCGCCAUGGAAGUUGCAAAGGGGAACUCGACGGGGUGGCUGGGACAGCAGGCAUGGUGUUGUGCUGCGCGUUGCUGGCUGCUGGCCGGAAAGCAGGGCAUCGGCCAUGGGCGACGGUGGCCUCACCUGCUCGA